AGAAUGCCGGAAUGAGUAGCGAGAUGGAGGUGAGAAUCCUCCAGGCCGAAUAUCCAAGGUUUCCAGAGUAAAGCUGAUCUGCUCUGGGUAAGUCGGGACCUAAGGCGAGGCCGAGAGGCGUAGCCGAUGGACAACAGGUUGAGAUUCCUGUACUGCUGUAUAUCAGAACUGUGGGGACACAGAGGGAAAGCACAGGCGCGGAACGGAAAGCCGCGUGCAAGCGAGGUACCGGACUGGUAGGAAAAACCGCCAGCCAACGGGAAGACGUGAUGCGGACCGAAAUUUAGUAGGGAAGUGUGUGAGCCAGCUGUCAAGAAAAGCCGCUAUUGUGUAUACAGUACCCGUACCGUAAACCGACACAGGUGGAUGAGGAGAGAAUCCUAAGGCCGGCGGAAGAAGUAUUGUCAAGGAACUCGGCAAAAUGACCCUGUAACUUCGGGAGAAAGGGUGCCUCGAAAGAGGCCGCAGAGAAUUGGCCCAAGCAACUGUUUAGCAAAAACACAGGUCUAUGCGAAACCGAAAGGUGAGGUAUAUGGGCUGACGCCUGCCCGGUGCUGGAAGGUUAAGGGGAGAUGUUAGAGCAAUCGAAGCAUCGAACUUAAGCCCCAGUAAACGGCGGCCGUAACAAUAACGGUCCUAAGGUAGCGAAAUUCCUUGUCGGGUAAGUUCCGACCCGCACGAAAGGCGUAAUGAUUUGGGCGCUGUCUCGACAAUACAUCCGGUGAAAUUGAAGUACCAGUGAAGAUGCUGGUUACCCGCGCCAGGACGGAAAGACCCCAUGGAGCUUUACUCCAGCUUGAUACUGGGAUUCGGUAUUGCAUGUACAGGAUAGGUGGGAGGCUAAGAAGCAUGGACGCCAGUCUAUGUGGAGCCGCUGUUGGGAUACCACCCUUGCGGUAUUGGAUUUCUAACCAGCCGCCGUGAAACCGGCGGUGGGACAAUGUCAGGCGGGGAGUUUGACUGGGGCGGUCGCCUCCGAAAGGGUAUCGGAGGCGCCCAAAGGUUCCCUCAGAAUGGUUGGAAACCAUUCGAAGAGUGCAAAGGCAGAAGGGAGCUUGACUGUGACACCGACGGGUGGAGCAGGUACGAAAGUAGGGCUUAGUGAUCCGGUGGUAUUAAGUGGGAAUGCCAUCGCUCAACGGAUAAAAGCUACCCUGGGAUAACAGGCUUAUCACUCCCAAGAGUUCACAUCGACGGAGUGGUUUGGCACCUCGAUGUCGGCUCAUCGCAUCCUGGGGCUGUAGUAGGUCCCAAGGGUUGGGCUUUCGCCCAUUAAAGCGGUACGCGAGCUGGGUUCAGAACGUCGUGAGACAGUUCGGUCCCUAUCCGGCGUGGGUGCAGGAUAUUUGAGAGGAGCUGUCCUUAGUACGAGAGGACCGGGAUGGACUGACCUCUGGUGCACCGGUUGUUCCGCCAGGAACAUAGCCGGGUAGCCAAGUCGGGAAGGGAUAAACGCUGAAGGCAUCUAAGCGUGAAGCCCCCCUCAAGAUGAGAUAUCCCAUGCGAAAGCGAUAAGACCCCUUGAAGACGACGAGGUAGAUAGGUCAGAGGUGGAAGUGCAGUAAUGCAUGGAGCUGACUGAUACUAAUAGGUCGAAGGCU
rnacentral:rRNA from 1 species